AUUGAACGCUGGCGGCAUGCCUUACACAUGCAAGUCGAACGGCAGCAUGAUCUAGCUUGCUAGAUUGAUGGCGAGUGGCGAACGGGUGAGUAAUACAUCGGAACGUGCCCUGUAGUGGGGGAUAACUAGUCGAAAGAUUAGCUAAUACCGCAUACGACCUGAGGGUGAAAGUGGGGGACCGCAAGGCCUCAUGCUAUAGGAGCGGCCGAUGUCUGAUUAGCUAGUUGGUGAGGUAAAGGCUCACCAAGGCGACGAUCAGUAGCUGGUCUGAGAGGACGAUCAGCCACACUGGGAAUGAGACACGGCCCAGACUCCUACGGGAGGCAGCAGUGGGGAAUUUUGGACAAUGGGCGAAAGCCUGAUCCAGCAAUGCCGCGUGUGUGAAGAAGGCCUUCGGGUUGUAAAGCACUUUUGUCCGGAAAGAAAUGGCUCUGGUUAAUACCUGGGGUCGAUGACGGUACCGGAAGAAUAAGGACCGGCUAACUACGU
rnacentral:rRNA from 1 species